AGUGUGUUUUAUGAUGUAGUAGUUCAAUUCAGAAGGUGUAUGGUUGUAUUUUGCUGUUUGAUAAGGAAAAUAAGUGUAAAAAAACAAGAGUUUAUUUUGUUCAUUUAUUAGACUAAAAAAAGCUUGUGUAACGUAGCAAACUGGUCCCUUGCACACAUCUCCCAUCUGGAACUGCCUGAGUUAUUCUAUCGGACUAUCGCCUCUCGAGGCACAAGUGGUAUUACAACACAGGAUGGGCUGGGGCUAGCAGGUUAGCAUGCUAAUUUCUGUUGCUAUCACUGCAACACAAUACAUAGACGUCUUUGGCAUGACGGCAGCACUGUUACUUUCCACAUUCUGUUGAUAAGGUUAGUUCAUUUUUUAAUGUUUUAUGUUAUGCUAUUAUAUGUUACUAAAAACCUUAAUGGUUCAAAUGAAACCAUGAUUUUAAACAAAUUUUAAACAAAUUUUAACAUUUUCAAGAAAUUACAAAAUUGUGAGGGAGGAUAAUCCUUGAAGAAGGAACCAUUUCCAAAUCUAUAUUUUGCAGUUUUAAAACAAUUAAUUGUUGUUAAUGAUCAUAACAUUUCUACUUUGUGUUCUAUUAUUUCAAAUUAUGCAUACUAAACUUAAUGCAUUUAAAAUGAGUAUUUUACCUAAUAAAUGCAAGUAAUAACUCACUACAUGCAUGACUUGUUUUAGGAGUAAUAAUUAAUAAUUCAUAAUAAUUAAUAGUAUGAACUUAAAAUGUCGACUGUGUUAUUGUCAACCCUGUUAGCUUGUGCUACAGCUGAAUGAACAUACUUGGUAAACACAAUGACUCAACUGUGGACCGAGAAUCCUGUUUGUGCGUUCAACAGGAAAUCUCAACGAACUCAUCAGCUAAAAGCACACAAUGUGUGUUUGUGUGUGUGUGUUCCUUGUGUGUGUGUGUAUGUGUGUGUGUGCAUGCCUGUGGUGCCUUCUGCAUGCCAAGGCUUCAGAAGCUACCUGUUCUCCCAGAACAAUUAAGCCAAGCCUCUUUACAGUAUCUCCGCUCCAAUUAAUUUUAAUAUUUAAACAGCCAUGCAGAGACUUCUGAACCCACUAACGCAAGAUUAGAGUAAACUCAAUUAAAUAUUGAUGGCCAUAAAUAAACAUUCUAAUUUGGAGAGCCGCCAUGGUGCGCAAUAUAUCAAGAGAAAAACUGGUUGCAGCUGAAAUGCUAUGCUUAUUAGCUGAGCAAAUGUUGAACUGCAGGAGAGGAGGUGAGAGGAAGGACAGAGGAUUAAUGUGGAAGGACGUCGCAGGGGGCAAGUGGGAAGGAAAACAAGAGGACAUACUACAGGUAUGACAUACGACCUACUGUAUUUGGAGAUGUACAGUAUACUUAUACAGUAUAUGACUAUACUGCCUUUUCUACAAAUUACCAAUCAGGAUUACACUAUUUUAGUUUAAAGCUACAAUCCAUUACUUUCCACACAUUUUAACUACAUGUUUAAGCAGCAUGUUUUACAGCAAAUAUGAUGGAGAUUAUGUGUUUGAUGUUUGAUAACAUGUUGAUGUUAUGUGUUUGACCUUGUUCUUUGUUAGUAUGCAGUGAUACAACAACAGACCAGCUGGUAAUGUGUAUAUGAUUUACUCUAAUUAUAAAGUUGGAUGGCACAGGUGCAAAACCCUUUCAUGGUAACCGCAAAGUAAGUAAGUAAUAAAUGAACAAUAAUUACUGUUUCAAUACUCUGAUGGAGUAAAAAUGUCUCAACUUUUCAAUUUCAACUUUAAAGUAGCUAAGGCCAUUUUCAAAUAUCUUUCACCACUCUAUUUCAGAUUGCAUUAAAACCAUGCAUUUCAUGACAGCUUCCUGCAUAUUGCUCCCCUAUUAAAACACCCUGGUAUCUAGUAGGUCUUUCUCAGAUGCAUGGGAAGAUAUUUACCAUAGAUUACUGGGGCAGCAAUAGCAUUUUGUGUAGAAUAAAUAAAAAAAAACUGGGUAGGCUAAGACAAAGAAAUAUGCAAAGGGAUACCUAUAUCAACUCAGAUUUCUUCAACAGAAAACCAAGGAAAUGAUACAUUCACACAGUGCAAUGAGAAAUACAGCAAAGCAAUGGGCAUCUAGCACCAAAGAUGUUGCUGAAAAUAAGAUUGCAGUUAAGAGAUUUUUUCUUUGCAAUUACUUGGUUACACAAUUACACUAGGUCUGUUACAUAAUAUACAGUAAUGAUGUCAGUGUCUUGGUGUCAGGUUGAUGUACAGAAAAUCUGACUUGAACUUUUAGAGUAUUUAACAGCAGAACUCUGGCCUCAUAUUCAAGCUUCAUUGACCUGCAGAGCGCCACUGUGGUGAAGAAAAGUCUUCUGUGACAUUAUAAUAUCCCCCUUCAUCCUUCCAGUCCCACAGAAUAAUUUUGUUUUAUCUAAAAAGGCUGAAAGAUGUUACAGAACUUCCAGACAGAAAACAAGUCCUUGAGAGGCUGUCCACGUGCUCGGCUCUGACUGACGGUGAAUCAUUCAUGGAGCGCAGGAAACAUGAUGAGAGCUUGAUUAAGGACAGGGAGAGAUGGGCUCCAAUGUUAAAUCAGUCCAGACUGAAGGCUGAUUAGACGAGAACUUUUACAUAAAAAACUGGGGGAGCUGAAAAAUCUUCUUCUAUCAGACAUGUCGUUGAAUCUGACUUAUCUCCAUAAAACUGGCAACUUUUUAAAUGGUGAAGGUCAUAACAUGAUUUAUACGCCAGUGCCCUGCACAUAAUUUAACUACAAAUUACACAAACUUGUAAAGAUUAUUUCUCAUCAUUGCCCAUAUUAAUUUCUGUGUUACAUUUAUGCAACAUGUCAUCACAACUGUGCCACCUACAUGCAAAUGUAGAAUCAAAGGCAAACAUGUGUAUACACAGACAGAGACACACACACAUUUACAGAGAUUUUUCCUCUUCAAGCUCAUGAAUUCACAAGACAGUGUGUAUGCUGAGCAGAGCAGACUAACAUGACAGCCUCCUGACAGCUCCCGUACACAGGCAGCCUGCUCUGUGUUUUAGAUAUACAGUAUAUUUUGAAAGUUAUUCAAGAGCGAGGGGGUGGGGGAGCAGAAACGCCACAUGAAUAAAUAGAAAUCAAACAUUCAGCGGCAGUAGUUUUGGCACUUUGAGCGGAGAUAUGGGGGGAAGGUGUCAAGGAGUAUGGUAACAGGGUUUGACAAGGUGGCCACGACGGGCAGCAGCCGCUGUCAGAGCGCCAGGUGGUGAUGCGUGAAUUGGGGGGAAAGGAGACGUGACGUGGUGGAUUCCUCAGCUAGUCGCUGGAGAGGACCAGAGGCUGUGGGAGGGGCCCCUUAACACACUGUCCACCUGUCAGAGCUCUGGCCAGCUUCACACACACUCACACGCAUGAUAGCAGACAUACAAGUACCCCUUCAUGUGGAUGCAAACAGACACAAAGUCAUUGGACAGGCUGUGGUUAGAAAGCAGAGGGAAAGCCAUGACCCAUGAGUGGAUAGUAAGUAUUCAGACUAUAUAAAAGAACACAGGAAUUAAACGGCCAAAACAUUUAGUGACGUUGAUAAUGCUUGAAAUGAACUAGUUUGUAAUAAAAAUUGAAAAGCUGUGCUUUGUGAUUGGCUAAAUUGACAUUUAAAAUAAGCGACCACAGAGAAGGUUAGAGGCAACAGAAAGUUGUCUUCUUAACUUUACUGCCCCUGACUGUGCCGGGACAGGCUUACGUCAUUGUUUUGCAAACUAACCAAGCUGGCAUUUUAAGAUUUAUCCACUCUGGAAACUGUUUUGGAAAAAUGUAUUUGAGUGAGAAAAACGCAGCUUUAGUAAGAACACAGGGCUGAAACAGAGAGAAAAAGAUGUGUCAUUUAAUUGAACUGGCUUAAUGUAGACAUACUCUCAGAGACAAGUUCAAACCCUGCUUACUUUCACAUAUCCACACACCUGGCUCAUCCUGACGGAAAAGGUGUGGAGGGAGGGGGUUUCAGACACUGAAACAAGCUCUUUUGAAGCAUACUGAUGCCUAUAGUACGAUUGAUUUUUGUUCUGGUUCUUUGAUUCAAUCAUUAAGAGAAAAUAUAUUUCAUCUAGCAUGCACGCUAGAUGAAAGCAUACAUGUCCUGGUACUUGUCCAAUUUGUUCCAUCUUUCCCAUCUUUCUCAUUAUUGUGUUCUCUUGUUCCCGAUACAGAAUUAAUGUGUGAUGUUUUCUGAUACAGUAGUUUUAAUUAGCUAUAAACUGUAUCCAGAUGCAGUAUGUUUACUAAAUGAGAAGAUGGAAUAAAAUGUCAAACACAGAACACUUUCAAAAUGACUUUAAAACUUAAACACAUUUGAAGUUUUAGAUUUCAAUGCACACUUUAAGUGCAAUUUUUGUAUUUCAUUUUUUAUUGAAACUUCCUUUACUUCCUCACUUUAUUUGUGACUUGUCUCAAUACACUUUAUAGUUAUUAUUUAUGUUGGUGUAGAUAGUACUGUAUUUAGUUCCCUUUAUUUCAGUUUUUUUCAUGCUUCAUUUCCUUAUAGUAGAUGUUAAAGUGACUUAUCUCAAGAAAUCUGCGGCUAAUUACAUGGCCCCAAUCCUCCAACUAGUUGACCAAACAUAUGAUACAUUAUUCUUGAGUUUCAGUUUACAAAAUAUAUCAAGGAUUGGCUGCAUGUUCAGAUUCCAAAUAAUUUUGUUUUUUAUUGUAAGUCAAUAUUUACUCCACAAAUCAUGUAAUGGCCCUCAAAUUCUGAAUAUAAGCUUUUAUGUGGUGUUGCUCCCAUCUCUCUCUCUCUCUCUCUCUCUCUCUCUCUCUCUCUCUCUCUCUCUCUCUCUCUCUCUUUGUCUCUUUGCAUUUCCUGAGAGGGAAAAGCCGGACAGUGGGCAGAGUGUUUUUUGGAGGCAAAGGCAGAAAGGGGGGGAAAAAGCUUCCUUUCACAGCCACAUAAUACUCUAUUCAUGAAGCCCCAUGUGCUUUUAUUAUUUAAAGCAUUCUCCCAGCACAGAGAACCAUCAUCUCAGAAGCUAUUCCACAGAAGCAAAAAAUAGUCGUAUUUGUGAAAUACUGAUUAUCUAAAAUAGGGCCGCGGGAUCUCGAUGGAAGGGAAUACCGGGCUUCCACGUCCCACUGGUGGAUUGUGGUGUUGUUUUUCUCCUAGCUCUCUUUUCCCUCAUCCUAACUCUGCUUGAUAUCAUUACACAAGCCUUGGAUACCAACUGUCAGAAAAUGCAGACUGUAAUGCAUCACUUGUCAGUGUGAAAAUAUAUAAUUAUGCUCAUCUAACAAGUUUUCAAGGCCAAAUGGAGGUAAUAUCUCUUGUGUGAAACAAUAAUCUUGCAAUGCAUCAGUGUGUAAUUGAAUUUUUUUUUUGCUACAUUUGCUUAUUUGUCACCUUGCAGGAAAUGUGCUGUCUUGACAGAUGAAGGAAAAACAAAUCGCAGAAAGGAUGCCAGUAAUUAGCUUUGUGUGGGUGGACUUGUAGAUGAUGCACAUGGGUGUGUGUGGUUUUGUGUGUGUCCAUCUAAUUUGUAUUACAGCGUAUUGUCUUACAUGCCUGCAUUGCUUAUUGAAUGGUCCCCUCAUCUCAUGUACCUUGACACCCAGGCCUAUUGUUGCCGUACAAUAAAAUCACAUGAAAGCCAGGCUAAUUGAACAUGCAUUGAUGGAAAUGUGGUGCUUUGACUUUCCCCUUUGGCAACCCUGGAGCUGACAGCUUCAUCUGCACACAGGAGUGGGCUGCUGCAGUAGGACGAGACACCUUGGAUACACAUUUAGAGACACAUCUAGAGACGAAGACAGACAGGGAUCUCUGCAGAAAGAGAUGAACAUGAAGGUAGAGCUCAGGCAGAGACAAAGACAGACAUAUACUGUAAGAGAAAGAACUGAAAGGAUUAACUGCUACCUGUCACAUGUACUGUAUGUGCAAUCAGGACGAUGGUGCUAAAUACUGGCAAUCAGGCCAGAUUCAUCAGAGCCUUCUUUUCCUGCCAAGGACGGCAGCACACUGUAAUUAUGUAGGCAUCAGCCUCUGCGACAGCCACCCGCGCUAGUUGUAAUUUCGCCCAAUUUACGUUAGAAGGCUUCAAAGGGCCUAUAAUUUCAAUCCCUUCAGCUUUAUGGUAAUGUGUUAGCACUGACUGUUGCACCUUUGUGCUCACCAUAAAAUGAGCACAUGUGUUGAAAGAUGUGCUGGAGGAAAGAUUUUUGUGAGAAGACAGUCAUGUUGACUCAAGGGAAGCAGCUGCAGUCGACAGAGAGAUUGACGGUUCUUUCACACCCGUAGUUCAGUUCAUUUGGUCCAGACCAAGAAAAAAAAAAGAUGUUCACACUAGCUUUUUACAAACGAACCAAGAGAUGUAAGCAUGAAGUCCUAUGGAACUCAUUGAUUAGACAGUUUUGGUGACUGUAAAUGAACCUCACAUAUUGUAAAUAGUGACAAACAGAGACGGGACAAAAAAGAGAGGAUAGUUUGGCCUACUGUGUGGUGGUUGCUACAAUAAUUUAUUCUCUGUGUAUUUUAACUGCUAAAAUACACAGAGUAGGACACAAGCUCAACACACCUCUGUUUUAACUCCUUUUCACUUUCUGAUUGAUUGGGAAACUCACCUGCACUCGUGUGGACGUGCACAUGCGUUGGCUUGGUUACAAAAGGCUCUACAUAGCUUAUACAGACCAGGAGAUAGCUUUCUUAACAGUUCACUAAUAAUAGCAGAUGGAUUUUAAUAGCAGCUUAGCUUUCCAAUGUAUGUUAAAGACACAUUUAUACUCUCACACAGCCCUGUGGUUGAUCUGUGUGGAUUUCACACCACAAACAAACCACACCAGUAGACAGAGACCCUCCUUUUCAGGUGUUUAGUCCCCAGUUUGAUUGACAGCUAACCAAAAAGGUUAGGUGUGAAAACAGAGAGGAGUUUAGGUAGGUUGUGGACACACAUAUCAACACACACAAAUGAUGACAUGAAUCCUAUGUAACCUCUGUUCCAAUUUCCAUAUGGUCAAUUAUAGUGUAUUAAGGCAAUGACAGCACCAGAAAACUAUUAGUAAAUGUCUGGAGAGGUCAUAGGUCUUCUUUGAAUUCCACAACAUGUGUUUCAAACAUAAAAGGAAACAGCCAAGUGGUGAAAGGGAAAAACAAACUGUUGGGGUCAAAGGUUGCUGUGCUGUCUGACCAAGAUUAAUAACGCCCCCCGCUCUGUCUCUUCCUCCUCUCUAAGGGCUUCUUAAUGACUAACCUGUCAGGAUUAGCAUCUCUCCCUGUUUCACACUGUGGUAUCCAGCUUCCUCCUCAUCCUCUAAUGAACAGCUCCGGCUCCAAGGACAGAGUAGACAGGGGUGAAGACAGAUGAAAACUCAAAAGCGCACAUCACCGCCGAGCUUCACAUUUCAGAAGUCCCGACCACCUGCGUCGAGCCGAGCCGGCUCUUUUCCUCUCUUCUCGCCCCCUUUUAACGUCCUCUGUCAUUCCCAGCUUCCGAUGGUUAGGACAACUUAAUUAAUCACAGUACAGCUCUAAUGAAUUAACCAGCCGGGGUGUAUUGAUCCCUGGGGUAUCAACGGCUCGCCUUUGUGAAGUCUGAUACCCUCUUCUGAAUUCAGAGAUCAAACAUCUUGAGAAAAAGUGGGAAGGAAUAUCACACUGAAACCUUUUUUUUUUUGAAGAGUGGGAGGAGGUCAUCUCAAAAGACACUGGCUGAAGCCUCUUCAGCAAAUAUGUGCAUUAGACAGAAAGCAAAUCCUCAUCUUCAUCCCCCCACACGCUCCCCUUCUCUCCUACUCUUGCCUCAGCUUGUGUUACAUGUGUCACAUUUAUAGAAAUAACAUUCCUUUCAUCAAGGGAAUUAGUGUUAUAUUUCAGGUUGUCUUAAAUCAGAAGAGGAGCUUACAGCUUAUUAAAGUGUCUUCACGGCACCACCACUAAGGAUGCUGGGGGAUUUGGCAGCCUUCUUCGAGACUGGAUCGCUCAGAUCUUUUUCUGGGCCGAGGUUAGAUUAGGCAUUGAUCUGAAAGGCUAAUUUGAUGCCACAUUACAGCUGUGAAAUUACAGCACUGUAUGUCUCCCAUUUAGGAAUAUGAGCCGGACAACUCCCUCUCCACUUCUCAGAAAUCAGUUAUGUAAAUGCACUCUGAGUAGCAGCAAAAGCUCGGCCAUGUACAAUUAUAACACCAAAAUGGAGGAGCAGCUGAAGAAUUCAAUUAUUAGUUGUCAAAUGUUAAUCUAAAUCAUGUGCCACACCUUUAUCCAUAUGGCAUACUCCUAUUUUUACAGCAUUAGGUCACAUUAAAAGUCAUGCAGGUAAUAGUUUCCAAUGUGUAACACUCCAUACACUGAGGCCCAACCAAUGUGUUUAUCAGUGUGCUCAGUAGGUUUGGUAAAGCUAUAAUUACCUGCCGCUACAGUAGCGCUCAGGUGUUGCUUUCUUCACCUGUUGAUUAAUUCUCCUUUACUGAGUCCCUGCCCACUUAAACCAAACAAACAACCUCUUUGUUUUUCACCUACAAACUUUUCACUUUGCUGAUGAGGAAAUCAUUUAGCUGAUUGGCUGCAUACACUCUCCAUAAACAAACAAACAAAUUUGUGUGUCAAAUUAGGGGUAAGCAGUGUACGAUAUAUAGCAUAAUCAAAAAAAAAGAAAAAAGAAAAAGAGUGGGUAAAGUACAACUUUCAGUCUGUAAUUAUCAUCAGGCAGACAAACUAACAAACAGGAGCAGAAGAAUGAAUUCACGCCUUUCCCUUAAAAUAUCUUAAAUUAGUUUGAUUUAUAUAUAUACUGUACAGUGAAUUUACACCAUAAAUACUUGAAACGGUGAAGUCUGUUCCACACAUAAAAAGGGCGGUAGACAAAUUCAAAAGUUCUAUAUCUUCAAUGUACGUAUUUUAAAAGAGAUGAGAAGCAAGGACACAACAGUGUUGUUGAGUAUGUGGUGAUACUUUGAUAUUUUGUUCAUAUUCUUCUUUUCUUUCUACAACAUUACGACCACAAAUGGUCUUCUUUAAGUGUCUUUUUGUGCAGUAGUUUGUGGAAUUCUUUUGUCCUUUUUUUUUGCAGAUUAUUGUCAAACAGCAACGAUUUUAUGGACAUGCGUGUACCUCUUGAUGAUUGCAUGGAUAGUUUACCACUUUUUAAUAGGGUACACAUUAUGAAGGGCUAAUAAAUAGAAACUAAUGGCUUUGUUGCCUAAUAAAUGAGUAAUAAGCCAUUAAUAAUAACAGUUUUGGGAGUUGCUUGGUUGUGAAUAUGGUAUGUCCUUCUCCAGCAUAACAAGUUUUGUCUCUCCUUAAUUCACAAGAAAGACCCCUCUAUGGGCAGUUUGACCACUUACUUACCAAAUCCAUGUAUGGACAACAUAUUAACAUUUACAACUGCUUGAUCUAUAAAGCAAUGAUUUUUUUUAACAUUACUAAAGCAUUAGAGACUACCCUUCCAAGAAAAACAAAAUAAUCACCACCCCUUUUGAAUCAAUACAUGCAUUUCAUGGAAAAACCUAAAAUAGUACAGUGGUGCAAGUGUGUAAGUGCACAUGUCGCCCCCCUGUCUGUGCCCUCUAUUUUGUGCCUGGGCGUAAGGCUUUUGAAGCAUUAUUUCACUGCACGACCGUGUUACACUGUUACUGAGCAGUGACUGCCUGGCUGGAGAUGCCAGCAGAUUUAAACGGAGGGGACACUCUCUCCGUCUCUGAUCCACACACCACAGAGCACCCGCACAAUGGAGUUAGUCAGUGAAGUCUAUCUGCCAUAAACUAAAUCCUUCUCACUCUCUGCAACUCUCUCCAUCUCCUCUCAACUGCCCUGUCCCCCUUCUCUCUCUCUGCACACACGCACACACACACACACAAUAAAAUGCUCUUUAACUUUGCUGAAUGCCCGAGUGUAACAACCACUCUCCCCUCUCCCCCUCACCCUCUUCCCAUCCCUUUCUCGUGCUCUCAUGCUGAUGCAUUGGGUGGGAUUAUGCCCAAAGGCUGUGCGCUGUGCCGUCCCCCUGCUGCACUGCCCGGGCCGUGUGCCGCCGGCCCGUGUCUGCAUGGCUGACUGUAUUAAACAUAAGCAGCUUUACUUGAUAGGGCUCUUUCCAGCUUUAAUUACCACAAACUCACAAAGUCUGUGGACAGCACUCCUCGCUCCUGCCACUCUGCAGAACAAACAUGGAAAAAGCCACUGGUCAGUAACAGAGGAAUAAGAGCAGAGAGAGAGAUGAUGGUGAUGAUGAUAGUAGAACAUAUGCAAUUCACAUUUACCAUCAUUAUAAUAAUCAACUGUAAUACAGACUAUGAUGAUGAUGAUGAUGAUGGGACACAAUUCAUUAUCGCAGUCAUUGUAACAGUGGUGCUGCCUGAAGGUAAGGGUGACCUGGAUUUGUUCAUUGCAUCUGCAAUGUAAAUACUGAAACUCAUAUUGUGUGCACAGGAUGUUAGAGCAGCAACAGACAAUAUACAGCAGAAGUGAGUAACUCUCUGCAGCCAAAUUUAAUUUGUUUUGGUGUACUGGAAGUUGGGAUUUUGACCACAUAGGACAAAAAAAGAGUGUAAGGAUAAUUUGACAACAUUUCACGGUGAGUUUAGUCAAUUUUUUUCCAACUGACAGCCAAGCCUGGAUCUACCAACAGGGUGUCCUGGGUGCUGAGCAGGAACCAAGUAUUUCAGGCGGAAAUAGCAAUCCAGCAUUUGUACAUUUUAACUGGUAUAAUUGUCACUAAAACAAAGCUUAUUUUAGAUGUGUUUAAUUAUUCUGCUUGAUUAGGCCUCUGCUCAGGUUGAAGUUGGGCUGCGCUGUGCUGGGACUGACCCUUCACUAAACCCAAAUUACAGUUUUUGUGCCUAUCAAGCUUUAUAAUCUGGCACUGCACAUACAGAAUGCAGGUUACAAUGAUAACUAUGGCAGAUUUAGCACUAAGAAUACGUGGUAAUUUUGGGUCCUUCAUUUCAGACAGACAUGAACAGAAUAGAGUCAUAAGGCAGUUCAGACAUUUAGUAUAGAAAUACAUAAAAUACCUUGACAAGAAAUACAAAGGUUAGAUUUAUCCUUUAUUGACUUUGAGGAGCAAGUGUAAUCUGUGCAUGCACACACAGUCCUGAGAAGAGGGCUAAUCAAACAAAGUGAAAACACCUGUGUGGUUGUGCCAUGAAUGUGAAGGGCCUUUAAGUAAAACUAAUAGCUAUGAUUGGCCUAUUGAAUAAUAUAGGGCUGGGCUCAUUUCACUGGUCAGUGUUUUGCUCUGGGCUACUACUCAGUUUGGUAAAGAGGACAUUUGUGGUAACACAACAAUGAAUUGUGGAACAUGUCCACAGAGCAGGGCUGGCAAUAGAAAACCUAAAAAAUAAAAUGAUACGAGAGGCGUUGCAUUACUACAGACACAGCAGAAACCAAAAGCUUUAGUUAUAAAGCAAAGAAGAGGAGUUAUGAUGCUGCCCACAGUGAAUGUGAACAGUAAAGUUAGCCAGAAAAAUCGAGGUAGCAGCUGUAGCAAAGCUGGUCAGGAAGCUGGAUUUUGAGGACAUGAUAACGUGGUUUGCCAAAACAAAAGAGAAGGAGCUGCUUAAGGUAAGGAUCAACUGUCUAUUUACUGUUUGUGUGACAAGUAAUUUAUUGUUUUUAAGAAUAAAUAUUCCCCUGAUAUGCAGUUGAGAUGCAUGGAUGUGUUUUUUAUUUACCGCAGAGCUGCGCUGGCAUGUUGUUAUCAGGUUGUGUUUUCUUUUGUCAGUGUUGUCAUUAAUGGGUCAUUUUUAUAGGUGUAUGAUGAAUGUCUAGUGAUGUAUAUUGUAGCUUCAUAUGAUAUUAAUCUCCAACUGAUAUUAUGUGUUUGUUGUGUGAUGUUGAAGUGUCAACAAGACAUGUGUUGACGUGGUGGGUGGCCCUUUGACCUUAAACACCCAGGGGCCCGUGGAGGUCUUAAUCCAGCCAUGCUGACAGCCUGUCUGGCACUAUCUGAAUGUCCCUGUAAACCCACUUUUCAGAAAGAAUUAAGGGCAUUUAAGUUUCACCUCUGACAAGAAGACCAAGUUGACCACAUGCUGUGAUUGUUUAAAGAGGACUUUAGGAUGUCACAGUGCUGUGCCAUAAAUUAAUUAUCCUAAAGCGCUUAGUGAAAGUCAUUAUAAUGGCUUACACUGAAGAAGAGAGGGUGAAUGGAGGUGAGCGUGCAGCCGUGAGUACAAGGGGGACAAACUUGAGUGAACGUAGAUUCAUACAGUAGUUAUGAGUCUCAUCAAGGCAACUUGACUGAGUUAUGGCCUAGACUGAAAAUAGUGUUUGUGUCUUGGCUGUGGCCUGCGCUGUCUCCCUGAAUGCCUUAAGAAAGAGGACAGAGAACCCGAGACUUAUUGUCUCAUUUUAUAGAGAAAAAAUUACCCCCAUUUAAAAGCAGCUGAAAGGCACCUAGAAAGAAAACAAAAAGGGAAUGAAGGCUGAGUUUGAAGUCUGGUGGUAGGUUGUGUGUGUGUGUGUGUGUGUGUGUGUGUGUGAGAGAAGUUGUCACCGUAGCCCUGCAGCCCCCUGGGAAUGACCUGGCUGCCUGCUGUCAAUGGGAAUCAUCCAUCUUUCCUCUUACAUCCUCUGCAAAUCUUUUAUUCAUUCUUUGGUUUUUUUCUUUCUUUUUUUCAACAUAAUAUAUCUCAAACUAGUAAAUACAUUACUGACUAGAUAAAUCAUUUAGCCCAUUAGAGUACAUUUGCAGACAAAACUACAAAUGUAAAUACAACCUGUUGUAAAAAGUGCAUCAUUUGUAUUUUUAAAUAUUUAACCUGACAUUCAAGUUAAAUACUGAGCAUGGUGCUCAGUAUUUUGCUCAAGGAAAUGUGUACAGCUUGUACUUGCAGAGAUCAAAACCUGUGACUUUUCAGUUACAUGACAGUCCGUGUGAUCACUUGACACUCUUCAGUUGUUGAAUUGUUGGUGUCCCGUCCUCAUGUGUAGCUCUAAGAUGUUUCUGCUUUUCAAGGCUGUUGCCUUAAUUUGGCUUCAUGCAGAGGACUGUGGGACCAUGAGAGCGUUUGUGCUGUUUGAUGUAACAAGCUGACCUAAUUACCCACUAACAAGUUACAUCGAGGUACAGCUGAGUACCAACAUCCACUCUAACAUUAUUGGUCCUGCUCACUCAACUCAGAGUCUGCUCUAUGAUAGGCUGUUGCCAGGUUACGUUUGAUUGCAAUUAAAUUAGUUUCAGUUAAAAAUUUUAUUACCUAAUUAGGGAAAUUUGUUUGCAAACCCAACUCACAGUUAUAGCCUUUUCAAAAGGCCAAAAGACAUGUAAGUGAUGACCACAAUAAACACCAAAUAUUUGAUGUAAUUUGUCAUAUUGUUUAUUGUUUUUUAAUGUGUUGUUUGCAACUCUCCAUCAGCAGAGCCAAAAAUCAAAGAUAACUAUUGAAGUAGUUAGAUAACUAUUACAGGCAUUCAUAUGAUAAACUGAAAUGUUUGACAUAUCAAAUAUUGAGUAUUGUAAAAACUGGAGGACUUCACUUUUUGGUUGGUUAUGUUAUAUUAAUGUUGAUUAUGCUAUUUUAAUCACUUGUAAGUCAAUAUUUUAACAGUUCCCUUUUCUGUUGCAUUGUGGGUAAAACAUGGCACCAGUCCAGGUUUCACGAGCCAGCAAAAUUAACGUCAUGGCUUAUACUGGGGUUUUAAAAUAAAAAUGUUCCACAAAAAAUGUUUUUACACAACUAAAACUUACAUUAAAAACCACACAAUAGGUUUUCUGAUGAAAAAAACAGAGCCUUCUGCAGGUUUGAUAACUUAUUUAAGAGAAUAAUUAUCCCCAUUAAAUUCACGUUUCCCAGCUUCAACAACUUAGUGUAAAUAGGCAUCUUUCUGUGCUACUGUACCUUCAUCCCAAUGUUUUAAACACAGCCAUUAAUAAUGAGACGUGUAAGUAAGGAGAGUUUCACCAGCAGGGAUCCCAGGUUAAAAAUUACGCGUACAUGAGGAAUUAAUCCUCAUGACAAGUGUCAAAUAUGCUGGAGUUCCUGGUUUGACCACAUGUGAAACCUUUGCCAAAAAACCUUGUAAGAACAGCAGGAGAGGAAAAGAUUUCCCAUCACGUCUAAGUUAUUGAUGAGCCUUAGAGUGAAGCAUGCUAGCUCAUGCGGAGGAUUCAGAUGCUUUCUCUCUUUACUUCGCCCAUUCAUUCUCAAUUUUGCUCCCAUCCUUCCCCCUCUAUGUCAUUUGCCCGUGACAGUUUUAUCUUUAUGUUGUCUAUCAGCGUACUCUGCCAGGUCUUAUACACUCCUCAUUUUUGCAAGACGAUGUGGAUGUCUCCUUUGCUGCAAUCGAACAGAUGUGUUCAUUUAUCUUUUAAGUAUAUAAGUUCCUGAACUGACACAUUUUGAGUCAAAUACUGUAAAAAAAAUAAAUGAAUAAAAUUUUGAGUAUGACACACACACACGCACACACGCGCACACACACGUGCACACACACACACACACACACACACACACACACACACACACACACACACACACACAGCAGGUCUCUGGGGUAUGAAGCUCAGUGCAGUGGAGCUCAUCCCACUUUUUCCACUUUUUCCUCCCUUGGGAUUUCCUGACCCCCUCAUUCCUUUUUUCUAUCUUGUCUUUCAGAAUCAAUUCCAAGAAACUCUUCUAUCCUAUUCCACACAGUUUAUGUCUUUUCUCCUCCUUUCUCUAACAGACCCUGCCACCACCUCUACUUUCCCUGGUGGGGUUUUAUUCUUGAUGAACUGCCGCCUCACAACUGUUUGCAUCCUGCCCUCCGAUGCCUCAUCCUCAUCGCCUUCAGAGAAUAGAGAAAUUCAAUAUGAAUUGCUGCCAUUAUUGCAAGGACAGGGUGAGAGAGGAAGAAAGCGAGCGAGGGCAACGGAAAGAGAUAAAUAGACCAGAAGGUUAAAAAAAGAGGAGGUGGAAAGGAUAAAAUCUAUAUUCACUCCCUCUAACGUGCCAGCGAUAACCACAGAGGCCAAGCUCCUCUAUUCAAAGCCGUCUAAACGAGUGUGCGACUAAAAGCUCUGAGAGCCUUUCAGCCGGGCCUCGCCACAGCUAGCCUGUCAAUGCAGUAUGGCCACAGGCUCAGAUAGAAUAGAAAAUACAACAAUAAAAGGAAAAAAAACACAUACACCCUGAGGCCAAGCGUAAGUCUGACAUACAGUUUCUGUAUUCUCUUGUCUCUAACAGCAUGCAAGCAUCCAGUCUGCAUCCAUCAUUGAUUACUCAAUUACUUGAGUUUGAAACAGAAGAAAUACAGGAGCGUUUAGAGGGCUGUUUAUUCCUGAAAUUACACACAGACAGAAGGGAAAUGGGCUGAGGGAGACAAUGAAAUGAUGGGGGAAUAGGGAUGUAGAGGGACACACAUGCAUUAGUGCAGGCUGUGAGAAAAGGUGUAGUGGAAAGUAUAACCAUGCAUGGAAAAUAGUGCUUCAUUGCCUUGUCAACAAAGAGAUGAUGUCCUGUAUGUUCUUUAUAAAUGAGGACAUUUCUUGGAGGUUCAGUGAGGGGCAAGCUGUUUGUAACACACGUGGAUCUUUAAAUGAAGAAAUCCAGCCUCUCUGUAGCUUUGCAGUAUUAAAAUAACCAGUCCAGAUCUCUAAAUUUGACAUAAUGUGAAAAUGCCUCUACAGCAGAUAUGAUGCAUUAUGCUUCAGUAUUGUAUUUCUUUUUAUUUUAAGUCAUUAAUAAUGUAACGGGGACAGGGCUUUCCAACACUGUCCAGCUACAGUAUGUACAUGAAAAAUGUUAGUAGUAGGAGAAUUAUGACUUUAUGAAAAAUGUCUUUUCUUGGCACUUUGGUUUGUUUGGAGGUGAAUCAGUUCUCAGAACAGUCUGACAAUGAGAAAAGAGUGCAUCAGGGGCCUGUGAUCUCAAUAAAAAGACUAAGUAUGCCAAUGACAUGUGAAUUAUGACCACAAACUGGCAUCAGUAUUGUAAUAAUCACACUAUUUAUAUCAUUGAUGAUAAUAAUACUACUUCAAUUCAUAUUGCCAGCUGAAUCGUCAAAGAAUCAUAGAAAAUGCAGUGUAGCAAUUCAGAUCUCAUCUUGGGCAUAUAGGGAAAAAAACAACAACAAGCCUGUGUUACAAACUUGGGACAUGGAGUUUGUAUGACGUGGGCAUUUUCCAGAAAGGGAGGGUGUACAUGUAACAAGGGACAUGUAACUACAGAGUUGCAUUAUGGGAAGUGUGGGAUCCAGCGUUAUUGAAGCUUGACCCAUACUUCGGUCUGAAAGUCAGGAUUUCUCAGCCUCCGCUGCACAUAUUUGGAUAAAUCUCUCUUGCAAGUCUCCCAACUUUAUACAAGAUACUAAAUGACUGCAGUGUCCCUUUAAGAGAUCCCAACCUUUUGCAUCCUGUCACCUUGAGAGGUCUACAGCUAAAUGGCAGAUUUGUAUUGGAAAGUGUGUUGAAGCCAGCUACUGAUUAUGCAUCAGCCGUUAUAAAAUCCAGACAAUGUAACAUGACAUUAUAUGACAAAAGUGUCAUAUAAUGGUUGAUUUUGACUUAUAGAAAUACAAAGAAAUAGUGUGCUGGCUCUGUUUUUGAAUAGAAUUUUUUUCACAUCUUACACCAGGACAUGCUUGCCUGUCUUUUUGAUGAGCAUCUCCAACCACAGACAUAUACAGAUACAAUAAGCAUGUUUUAUUAAUUUAAAACCAGCUUGAACAUUACACUUGUUUAUUUUGAAAAUCCCACAAAAUAAAUUCUAUUUUAUUUUGCGGCAGCACUUGAGCUACACAUGGAUAUAAUUUUUCCAGUGUCUUGAUGAACUGCAUUUUGAAAUAUGUAAAUGUGUCGAGUUGUUAAUAUUAUUGUUAAUGAUCAUAUUGACUGAGGGGAAUACAGCUGAAAUGCAAUCAUAGAUGACUCUGUGCAUCCCACACACACAAACAUGAGCCAACACACUGCUGUGAUCACUGGGGAACCAAGCUGAUCAAUAACAAGUAAAUGAUGAACUCCAUACCCGCUUUUAGCUUGAGGCAUACUGUAUGUUUACUAUGGGCAUGGCACUGCGAAUAUCUUGUUCAAGUGCCACUGGCAAUAAGGGGCAGAUGGCUGCUGUGGUAUACCUUUAAAAACAAUAUUGUGACAGGGCAGCUGCAGUAUGGGUCAGUGGUUCUGUGAUGCUGCUUCGAUCUACAACAGAUGGGCCCUGCAGCAGCACUGGAAAUCCCCUGGUAUCCCCACAAAAAACAACACUGAGCUCUCUGCCUCCAUUUUACAUCCAGGAACUGUGUUUAUUUGAAUAACUCCUCCAAACCCAUUAUCUAAUGACAUGACUCAAUGAGUCACUAUCCCCCAGAUACCGCUGAGGGAGAAACAUUGGGUUUUUGGCAGAGAGUGACUCGAAUGCAGUGGAAAAAGGAGAGUUUCAAAUGAAUUUCAGAGGAACAGAAUAUUGGAAUGAUUACAGUACAUCGAAUCUGCAUAUCUACAGGGAGUAUAUGUGACUCUGAGAGAAUUACCUUGACAUACUUACUAACUGCCAAGGCUUUUCUCAACUACUCACUUUUCUGCAGUAGGAUUUGGAAAAGUUAACUGAUUUUCACCAAAAACAUUUGAGAACCAUAGCUGAUCUACCACUUACCAACACGAAUGCUUCAUGCUCACCAGGCCCUGACCACAUUGGAAAUUACCUUGAACUCACACUGUUCAACAUGACCCCCUGGGGGCCCAUGAACAAGCAGAUGUGUCUGAGGGAGGACCUAAAGAGAAAACAGGAUUUAAACAAUGGACUAAGCGUAGCUAAUAUUUGUAUAGUCUGUGUGUGACAAAAGAACGUGUUGGUAUAUUUUAAGACAAGUUAUCUUACAUUUAAGAGACCAAAACUAUUUGGUUAAGAUGUUGGUAAGAUUAACGUCAUGGUUAAGAUCAGGGAAAGAUUGCCUUCAUGACUAAAAGAAAUCAAUGUUGACUGGUAGUAGGAGACAGAGCACAAAAACACAAUCUCUAGUGCUGAAAUCAUCAUCCACCCUGACCUCAUUCUACCUCUUUGCAGCUGCUGAUGUCACACCAUUGCUGAUCAAUGCUGAAGUGGUUUCUGGAGAGGACAGUCAAGAGAUGGCUUGUCAGGAAAAUAAAAACAUGGAUUAUUUAAAGCCAUCUGAACAAACAAUAGUGAGGUCUGAUGAGUGCAGUCUUAUAUCAUUAGCGAGGAACAGAGGCACAAACAGACAUUUUAAUAGAAUAUUUGUCUCAAAUGACGAAAGAAAAUUAUCAUAAACAUGUUUAUUUCAACAGUAUCUGAAAAUCUGUAUGUGGUGAGCUUUCCAAUGGUCAUAAAUGGCAGCAGGGGUAGUGUUGCCAGACUGGUCGUUUUUCUGCCCACUUGAGCUCCUUGGGCAGGUUUUUCAACAUUUUUGGUGUACCAUUUGGGUGCGGUUUCCUCUGUUUUUAAAAGUUGAUUAUAUUCCAAUGAAAUGGCUCUUCUUCACCUCCAGUUAUUCUACAGACUGACAAGGAUGCAGCUGCUGUGCCACAACGUUAAGAAGAAGAGAAUGACAAGGCACUGACUAGAGGCUGAUUACAAGAAUCUUUUCAUCAAAGAUGGCUGUUGCAUCAGAUUAAAAUGAAGACACUUCUUCUUCAAGCGUUGCUGAGGAAACUGACAAAGUCAAGGCUUUCAAUCAAAUGAGUUUCAAUCAAGUGGCCAUCACUGGCAGAGUCUUUCUCCAAGGAUGUGUCUGAAUACAGAGGGCCGUUGUUAAUGGAGGGCUCUGUCUCUCUGUUCUCCACAUCUGAGGGUCCAUACAGACCUCCACAGGCGCCCGCUUCACAGUGUGUGUUGGCAAGACAUUCAGUACCAUCACACUGGGACUCUCUUCCUGUCGAACACCAGGGUGUUGGGGCUUUUCACACCACAGAUCAGAGUCCAAGCCAAGAGGAAGAAUAGGAGAAGGUCAGAGGGGUGUGUAGAUGAACGAAAUGGUAUCAGGAUAAUGGAUUCAUGGCUGAACUAAACAUCAGGGUUUUCAGACAGGUAUAUAAUACCAGGGGAAGUAGCAAAUUGGCCAAUCUAACACUAACUGCCCAUUGUUUUAACAAUUACAUUGUCUCUUUUGACUGUACAAUAAGACCACAUAUUUACAUAUAUUAGUAUUUCGACAUAUAAUUUGUCCCUGGAAUUUAAUCUUAACACAUAUCAGAACAUACAUUGGUUUGGCCCUGGAAUUCCUGAAGAGUUUUGAUGCCAGUAAUAACCACCACAUGUUUUUUUUUCCUUUCAACUGAAAAAUGUUGAACUUAAACUUGAAAAAGAUAAAUAUCUUUCCCUAUGAGACACAAAAACUCACCAAUUUCCCCACAAGCACAUAAAAUAUAUUAAAGAUGAAAAAGAAUGGAAAAAUGUGGAAAUAUUGUGCAAAUUGGGAGGUGAGCUGUGAUGAAUCAGCACUGAUUAUCCCUUACAGCUUCUUACCCCCCACUGCUAUAAUAUGAGUUGCAGGCCAACUCAAUUGGAGGAGUGGACCUUUCUGAAUCACAGAGUUUUAUUGGAAAGUAAACAGUAAGUCACGGCACAUAGUACAUCAAAACCUGCAAUACAUGUUUUCAAUUAUUCUAUGAGUCAGUUCAAAUAAGCUCCAAAAAGGGUAAGACCACAGAAAUUCAGUAAUUCUUAUUUUCCAUGUCUGUCUGUACACUCAUCUCUUCCACUAUACUGUCUCCUUCUGAUCAAGUGUGUCAGCUCAGAGCUACUGUUCUCAUCGCAUCUUGUUGGACUUCAGGUGCAAAAAGCCAGGUUUGUUUAAAAAUGGACAGCUUACCAAUUUUGAGUAGUUUUUAUUUCAAAAUUCAUGUCAUUAAACUAUUGUUAAACUGGUAUCCUGAAAUGAAGUGGCUUUGUAAGUGGCAUUAUUUAGAUAUUCAAAGCAACAGUGCAGCGUGGGUAGUCUGGCUGGGGAGGGUAUACAGAAAAGUAUUUGUAUAUUAACAAUGGCGGCCACAUGGUACCUUAAUUUGUAAACUUGUAAGCAAGUUAGCUCACCAGACCACGUAGAAAAAAAUGCUCUCUCAGGCCAGAUUUUUAAUUAAAAAGCUAGCCAGAGGGGUUAUUGUUUUCACUGUGUGGCUGAAAAUAAGUUGAAACUUUUCCAUGUUCCCCUCAUUAUGCCAGCCUUCUGAACCUGUUUGCAAAGUGCUCUGAAACACUUUUUUGCAGCAAUUUGGAGCAUCAGAUUGAAUUAACCAAUAUGCCCAUAAGAUUUGGCGCAGAGGGCUUGAAUUCCUCAGUGGGCUGACGAAAGCGCAGUAUGAUCCAGGAAACUGACAUGGUCUCUGAAUAUUAUUUAAGAAGAUUGGUAUUUCUCAAAGUAAUUAUGAUUUGCACCAAGAUUAAGAAAUAAGGAAAUUAAAUAUAAACAGAUACUGUUAUGUUACAAAUAUGUAGUCGAAUUAUAGUCGAACUGAAAUUAAAGUUCAUGUUUGAUAAGAAAUAAGUAUAUAUAUUUAUAUACAGUAGAGCCUUGGUUUGUUAUUACCAAAAACAAGAAUUAAAUGCAGUGAUAAUGCCCCCCUGGUGUGUUUCAGGUGACGUGAAUUUUUGUUUGACUGACAAUGUUGGGACUGUUAUUUGGUUACACUGACAGUUAAUCAUCUAAGGCGCUGAGGUUAGCCGUUGCUUUGCCCCAUCUGUGUAUUAAGAACUCCCUACAUUACUCUAUGUUGGGAUUUGAAUCACAGACUGACUUACAGAAAGCUGAGGUUAUGGGAUCAUCUGAGUGAGUUUUGACAGUCUGGUCAUUUGCCAUCACCACAUCUGGAUCUAUGAAAGUGACAGCUAACGCUAACUAAGCCCCCUCUUUUAAUGCAGGCUGAACACAAUGCUGUAUGUGCUGGAGCUGCCAAUGACUCAGCAGGUGUUGAUAUAAUGUGCCCGAAAAGUAACGUCGGGAAGUAAGUUGGGGUCAGUGCUAAAAUUAGCAAGCUAAGCUAACUAGCUUCUACUUUCUGAGUGGAAGCUAGUUAGCUUAGCUUGCUAGCUUCCACUUUCCAAGUGAAAUACAAAUUUAACAGCAUCAUGGGUCCUCCAAAAUGUUGAAUGUUGAAAGGGGACAGAUGCUUAAAUUGCUAAAGGGGGAAAAUAUCUUGUAUCAGAAGCUAUAGAGGGCUGUGAUGUGCUAAAUGUACCAGAGAAGCUGACAGCGUGUCUUCGAACAAUGCUGACUGUCAGAUGCCAGUCAACCUUUACCAUGGGAAACAUCCACCCAGGCGCUUGACGCUUAGACACUGUUUCCACAAAUAUAUGUUCUUUUGAAAAAUGGAAACAUUUGCUCAAUAUUAUAUACUUUAUAUCCCUUACACAAAAAGUGAGGAGAAAUCAUAUUUCAGUUUGACUUUUAGUUUUGACCUUGGUCCAACUUUCUAAAGUGUUUGUGCUUUAUUUACUGUGGAAGUAAAAAUCAUUUUUGUGCAGAAACACUUCACCAGGUAAUAAGGUGUGUUAUCCUUUAUUAUAACUUAAACUUCAUGCAUGAAGAAACCUUUAAAUCUUCUUUUUUAAUCCUCUCACUUCUUUCUGUUGAUGCAUUUCUCACUUGCUGUGUGUAAUUUUGUGCACCCCCUACCUCUCACCUCACUUCUACCUUCCUUUGACCAUUUCUCCUCAUUAAAUGUUCCUCCCAUUUCACUGACAGUUUGUUGUGCACUUGCCUGACUAAUCAGAAUCUCCUGCUGUUUGAACGAGGUUUAACAGUGUUAUGCAACAUUGUUUCAUAACACUAAUCAUUAAGUUCAAUUGAUUGGCACAUAAAUCAGAGGAGUUAAUUGGACAAGCACAUGAAUGCUAAUGAGUGUCUGAUUUGACAGAAGCAGAAAUCUGUUAUUAGAUCGUACAUCAUCAUUACACACAAACUACUGUACCCGUGCAAAAGUGUGACUACGUGAUUUCAUGUGCAUGUCUCAGAUAGAUGAAGUUCCUUAUAAUCAAGCUUUAAUUGGACGUGUAUCACUGAGAAUUAGGGGUGGGAGUAAAUGGGGCAAAGUUAAUCCCAGAGAAUAUACUAUUAGAUUGUGCUGAAGGGUAGAGGAAGGUGUGAGGUUUUGUUGUUUUUUGCUUUUGGUCCGCGUCAGCCCUUUUUCCAGCCAGCUUUAUUUAGCGACAUCAGUUAGCGACAUCAUUAGCAAGAGUCUUGGGCAAUAUCUGACCUUUUCACCUCUCAGCAAUCACACUCUGCAUCAUUUCCUGUAUACUAUCAAAUUUGGUCAAGUCCCUGUGGUAUUCUAUAAAUUCAUUAGUAAGGUUAUGUGACAGCACAGCAAACAGCUUUUUCUAACACGGCAGUGCUGAGAAAAAAACCUCUCAAAAUCCAACAGGAAGUAGCUUUCUGUGUUCGCUGAUAACUUUUACAAGUUAUCAGCAAAUAAAUUUGUCAAAAAACUAUUAACUUCACAUAAAAUUAAGUGAUUUUUAUGCUGAGUUAAAUUUAUUAUUGGUAAUUUUAGCCAUGCAUGCUAACGACAUGGCUCAAGCAUUUAGCUUGAAGCAUUACUGUACCUGAGUACAACCUCAUGGAGCCACUAGUGUGGCUGUAGACUCUUAGUCUUGUUACAGUACAUUUAAACAUGAUUAAUCCUUGUUUAAUUGGCUUUCUGCAACAUUCAGAACACUCUAUGCAUAUUGCUUACUCUCUUUAAGUCCCCUGGGCUGUCAUACAAAGCGUCACUCUUGUGGUCCUUUGGUUGGACUAAUCAGCUCUCCUCUCCAGAAGACUGGCACUCUGCCAAGUGGUAAACUCCAUGCCCUGCAGAAAUAGCUGGAUCAAUUGAUAGAUUGUCAGCAAAUGCAGCCACAGGGAUUUGAACUACGUUAGGCACAACUCAAACACAUGCCACCCUCCUGAAUAAGCUCCUUCUAUUACUGCGCUACUAGGCCAUGUGUACAAACAAAUAAAUUGUAACCCGAGACCAUACUGUGGACGUACAGUUGAUUAAUUUCUAAACAGAAAACUUAAUUAUAAGCUGUAAAUGGCAGUAAAUACAGGCUUCACAGCAUCAUGUCUAAUGACAAGUUUGCCACCUACGCGUCUGGCACUCACUUGUCUGCAGGUGCAGUGACUGACCCAAUGUAGAAAACAAGCACACAUUUAAAUUUAGUUGCACUGUUGAUAUGUGAAUAAAUAAAAAGUUAUCAGAUAACUUCAAAUGUGGAAAUAUCAGUACAAUGAUGCUCUAUCCAAUGAGCUAUACACAGGAUUUCAUGAUUUAUUGAUCCUAAUGGGCAACCUGUAGAAGUGAAGAGAAAUAUAUAUCUAGCACGUUUUUGUCUGAGACUAAAACUAAUCUUGCAGCCAGGUUGAGUGUGUAUGUGUGUGUUUGACAAAAUGUUACCAACAUGUCACACUUUCUCACAAAAAGAUCUGAAGACUGCAGGUCUGUUUUUGUCAGUUUCAUUUGGCUUUUCUAUCGUCAAGUUCCCUGGUGGUGCAUCCUUUUCUGUAUGAGAGUAUCUGUGUCAGCCAGUUGAUUCUCAGUGCCGCGUGGCCGACAUGGCUCGAUUUAUUUAUGGCAACAAAACAUUGUUCUCAUGCCAAUGAAAAGGGAAAAUGCUUUGAAAGGUGUGGCAGCUGUAUUCACACUUCCUCUACAUGAGACUGUUUUCAACUAGAGCACAUGUGGGAAGAAGGAGAGGAGAGAGACUUCCAGACAUUCAGGUAGACAACAUGUAAACAGCAUUUAGCAUAAAGACAGUGUGAUUACUUAUUUCAGCUGUUGUCUGGAACCACACAUAGAUACAAAGUACAGUGUACACCUAGACAGAGUCUGGGUAUAACUGCAGGUGCUUUAAUUAGAGCCUAAAUAAUGAAACGGAAUGGACGAGUGGGCUUAAAGCAGGAAAAAAGGACUGGUGGCCAGACCGAGGGGGAGGAAAUGUUUCUUAAUCAUAGCUUUGUGCCUUGGAGCAUGGUAAGUUUUAAUGAAUGAUUGAAAACCAAUCAUAAAUGGUGGUACAUUAAUACUGCAGGAUGCUAGAUGACCUUUUCCUUUUGAACUGAGUGAAAAAUGAUAUUCCAGCUGAAAUUUUUUGAUGGCUUUUUUUUUUUUAUUAUUACGUGCUUUCCCUCUCCUAUACAGCCACCCAAUCCCUUAAGAGAUUUCAAUUAAAUUGUACUACAGAGUUCUUCACUUACUUUCCUUAAUCUCUCUCUUGGCUUGUGGCAAAGUGUGAUUUUGUUUUUUCCCCCAUGUCAUUUCCAAUUUAAUAGAAGUGCAUUUUUG